UASGGCUCAGWAACACGUGGAUAACCUACCCUUAGGACUGGGAUAACUCUGGAAAACUGGGGCUAAUACCGGAUAGAUGAUUUUUCUUGAAWUGGGAUUUUGUUUAAAUGUUUUUUCGCCUAAGGAUGGGUCUGCGGCAGAUUAGGUAGUUGGUUAGGUAAUGGCUUACCAAGCCUAUGAUCUGUACGGGUUGUGAGAGCAAGAGCCCGGAGAUGGAACCUGAGACAAGGUUCCAGSCCCUACGGGGUGCAGCAGGCGCGAAACCUCCACAAUGUACGAGAGUGCGAUGGGGGGAUCCCAAGUGCUAUUCUUAACGGGAUAGCUUUUMUUAAGUGUAAAAAGCUUUUGGAAUAAGAGCUGGGCAAGACCGGUGCCAGCCGCCGCGGUAACACCGGCAGCUCUAGUGGUAACAAUUUUUAUUGGGCCUAAAGCGUCCGUAGCCGGUUUAAUAAGUCUCUGGUGAAAUCCUGUAGCUUAACUGUGGGAAUUGCUGGAGAUACUAUUAGACUUGAGACCGGGAGAGGUUAGAGGUACUCCCAGGGUAGAGGUGAAAUUCUGUAAUCCUGGGAGGACCGCCUGUUGCGAAGGCGUCUAACUGGAACGGUUCUGACGGUGAGGGACGAAAGUUAGGGGCGCGAACCGGAUUAGAUACCCGGGUAGUCCUAACUGUAAACGAUGCGGACUUGUUUUGGGGUGGCUUUGAGCUGCUCCAGUGCCGAAGGGAAGCUGUUAAGUCCGCCGCCCKGGAAG
rnacentral:rRNA from 1 species